AAGUCGUAACAAGGUUUCCGUAGGUGAACCUGCGGAAGGAUCAUUAACACGUAUCCAACGUUAAACCCCCCCGUGAAUAUUAAGCGUGCUCUUGCUGCCCGGUCAAUGACCAGCAAUCCCUGGUAAAUCAUGUCGAACAGUAUUGAUUCAGGGACUUCUGCCCGACUGAGAAGUUACAGCGGCAAUAGAGCGCUUGAAGCAAGUGGUUUGGUUUCCCCUCAAAUUCACUUCAAUGAAUGAAAGUGUCAUUGAAGUGUGAUGGGGAGAACGCUUAACGAACACUGUAGGCCAACACUGGCCGGUGUCCAGACCGCCGGGCGCAAGCCCCCUUAUCACCACAUGUCAGCGUAGGCCCUUCUGUCGUGGUUGGGCAUUAAAACGAACAACUGUUAACAAUGGAUAUCUUGGUUCUC
rnacentral:misc_RNA from 1 species